rnacentral:lncRNA from 1 species
GGGGUGAACAAUGAUUGAUACCAAACCCAUUUCACAAUGUCAUUGGUUUGAUGAAUGUAUCAUACUGACAUUAGUACGGAGUUAAACUAAUAUGUGUAUGUUGUUGUAAUUUAAUUGUUUACUUUUAUUACGCAAAUUGAGUUAGAUAAAUUUAAUAAUAAUACAGAAAUGUUGAUGACGUCUAAAGUAUUCACGUCAAAGGCACAUUUUCUCUUAUUACGUGUAAAGUAUAAAAGAAAAAAAAUCCGAUGAAAAUUAUUAUAAAAUUUUGAGAUGCAUUGUUGACAUGUGUGCAGAAACGAACUGACGUUUAUCUUCGAAACGCGCAUCUGGUGCAGUAAAAUUUGUAUCGUUUUUGUUAAAGAUUACGAGUGAUUGAAACUACCACGUUUUUAUGCGUUGGUGAAACACCGCGUUUUUAAUAACAAAAAUAUUUUGCAAUUCGUCACAAAUUCCCUCGACUACAGAUACGUUUAUUAAUUUUUGUAUGGAAAUUUUUUUUUUGCCCUAUGAUAUUUGUUUAUGAUUGAAGAUUGUAUUGCUGUUUGAUUACGUCCUCGAUCUCUGGAUCUCUGGUGGAUGAUUGUCUAACCAAAAUAAAUAAUAAAACCAUAUCUUUACUUUGUAUUUCUUGUGAUAAUAUUGUAUGUAAUGCUGUAAAUAUGUAUUGCCGUAUUAAACGGCGAUUUUGAAAUGAAAAAUCAAAAUGAUUCAAAAUCUG